rnacentral:lncRNA from 1 species
AAAGCCUUUCUCAGCUGGGUAGGUUCUCGGCAGCACCCUCAGUGACUUCGGGGGAUUUGGUCUCAGCAGGAAAGUCUGCUCAGGGAACUUGGGCCCAUUUCUGUUUAAGCCUUCUUGUGGAACAUUUCUCCAACAGCACCAGGCCUUGUCAGUGCAAGUGAAUGGCCCAUACCCACAGAGUCCCUGCUGAUUUCAGGAGUACAGAUGCGGAAUACUGAGUGUGAGACGCUGCUGGUGAGCUGUUCUUGA